rnacentral:misc_RNA from 1 species
ACUCGUCAUGCUUCUCCCUCAAGGAUGGUAAGACCAUAGAAGUGAUAUACUCCUCAAAAGAUUCACGGUAUUUAUCGUAUAGCUGCUGGGAGUAAUCAUGUGGCGGCUUUUGUGUGCACAUGUUGUAUAUGGUGGUAUAAAGCAUCAUGUAGUCCUCGGAGCUGAACUGAGGCUCAGGCAAGCCCUCAAGAAUGUUCUUCAACUUUGUGAUUCCCUUCUGCAUAAACUCCCAUCCUUGUUCCAAGUCAAUAGUCUUCCGCUCGCCCAUUGUCAUGUCGACACAAAUCUCUUGAUCGAAGACCUAAUACUCAAAAAGACCUUACGAAACCCUAAUCUGCUAAUCAGGAAUCAACCCACCCUAGAGAUGAUGGCGGAGGAACAGAGAAGCCGACGGAGCUCCGCCGGAAAAAUCUCAACGGCGAAAAAGAUGAGAAAUGCGAUAGCGGUCGGGAGAGGGUGAAAAAG